rnacentral:rRNA from 1 species
AGAUUGAACGCUGGCGGCAUGCCUUACACAUGCAAGUCGAACGGCAGCACGGGGGCAAUCCUGGUGGCGAGUGGCGAACGGGUGAGUAAUACAUCGGAACGUGCCCAAUCGUGGGGGGAUAACGCAGCGAAAGCUGUGCUAAUACCGCAUAAGAUCUACGGAUGAAAGCAGGGGAUCGCAAGACCUUGCGCGAAUGGAGCGGCCGAUGGCAGAUUAGGUAGUUGGUGAGGUAAAGGCUCACCAAGCCUUCGAUCUGUAGCUGGUCUGAGAGGACGACCAGCCACACUGGGACUGAGACACGGCCCAGACUCCUACGGGAGGCAGCAGGUGGGAAUUUUGGACAAUGGGCGAAAGCCUGAUCCAGCCAUGCCGCGUGCAGGAUGAAGGCCGUUCGGUUGUAACUGUCUUUUGUACGGAACGUAAAGUACUCUUUACUAAUAAAGAGGAU